AACCGACGCAGCCCAGUGAGCGGGCUUCCUAGUUGCUGGCGGGUCUCCUCCUGCCUGGAUUCCCAUUUCUCUCCCUGCGGCUUCCAGGGGCCCACAACAGCUCCUGAAAAAUGAACACAUUGGGCUCAGCUUACCUGCUCAGCGGGCUUUAUGCAGUAUUUUGCCUGUCUAUGUCUGCGUACAGACCACGUGAGUGCUUGGUGCCCGUAGAGGCCAGAAGAGAGCAUUGGAUCCCCUGGAAGUGAUGCUGCAGAAAGCUGUGAACUCCUGUGUGGGUGCUGGAAUUGAAUCCAGGUCCUAUGGAAGCCCAGUCAGUGGUCUUAGCCACAGAGCCAUCCUCCAGACCUUACUGUCUCUUUUUAGCAGCUGAUUGAAAUAUUCCCUAAUAUUAAUUCCUAGUGAGCAAGUAACUAUCCACCUGCAAGCUUGCUAAAGAAACCUAAGACACCCAAGACCAAGUGAGUGAGCACUGGCAUGCACUCGCUCACAAUUCCACACUCCCUACGUGAGGAGCGGUUAGAAUUUAUUAACUUACCUGCAUUCCCUCUUCCCAACGCGUCUCCAACUGGGUUUCUAUGAGUGCUUUCCAAUUCAGUGUGGCUACACUUUCUACCAUGUUCUUCCUCUUGCUUUAUAAAAGAUUUUAAAAUAGUGAUUAAAUAAUGUUUUUGUUACUACAGAAA